rnacentral:rRNA from 1 species
GUGGGGAAUCUUGCACAAUGGGGGAAACCCUGAUGCAGCGACGCCGCGUGAGCGAUGAAGCCCUUCGGGGUGUAAAGCUCUUUCGACGGGAACGAUUAUGACGGUACCCGGAGAAGAAGCUGCGGCUAACUACGUGCCAGCAGCCGCGGUAAUACGUAGGCAGCAAGCGUUGUUCGGAAUUACUGGGCGUAAAGAGUGUGUAGGCGGUCUCGCAAGUUUGGUGUGAAAUCUCCCGGCUUAACUGGGAGGGUGCGCCGAAAACUGCGAGGCUUGAGUGUCGGAGAGGAAAGCGGAAUUCCUGGUGUAGCGGUGAAAUGCGUAGAUAUCAGGAGGAACACCUGUGGUGUAGACGGCUUUCUGGACGACUACUGACGCUGAGACACGAAAGCGUGGGGAGCAAACAGGAUUAGAUACCCGUGUAGUCC